GGUGGUGCAGUUUUAUAACAAAGGAACUCGAAUGAAAGCUGGGGAAUGUAUAUACAGUGUAUAUUCGAUAUUAGUUGGCUUCUGCAAUCGAAAAUCCUAUAAACAUUUAAAAGUCCUAUUAAAACUCGCAAAUAGAAUUUAUUAAAGAAUAUACAUAUAAAGCAUUUCGCAUACCACAAUUUUUAACAAUUUUAAUAACAAUUUGUAUAUUGCAGUACCAUUUUAGGUAUAAAUACAAUGUACCACGUGCCCACUGUAGCCUCCAAUGCACUUCCCCUGCGCGUGGCUGUGUGAGUGCAUGUGCAUGUGGGUGAGGAAGAGGAAGCAGGAAGCAGCAGCAGCAGCGUCUCGGCGGAGUGUCGCCCCCUUUUAGUGCCCCCUUUUCGGCGGCGGCGCCACUGUGCGAGAGAAACGGCAACAAAAACUGCUGCCGCUGUCGCUGCCACUGCCGACGGCGACGUCCGACGCCGACGUCUGCGAAUAAAAUUCGCGCAUUUGGCUCUUGAUUUGCCGCAGACAUUGAGCAUUUGAUCGCCAACAACCGGCAAACGCGGUUCGCUCACUUCGCAGCUUUCCUGGCAUUCGCCACUCUGGCCUUUUGCCGAUUUUCGGUUUAUCUCUAUCUCUGUGGGCAGGAAAAUCGGAAUCGAAUCGGCCCGGCCCGGCCAUAUAAAAUAAAAGGCCAGACAGUUUCUGGGCUUUGGCACAGUCGUUCGUUUCGCACCAAAUAGGAGACAACAACGUGGGAGAAAAGAGAGCGAGCCACUAGAGAAAAAUAAAUAUUCAAAGAAAAAUAGUUAACGCGCGUGUUGGUGUGCGUGUGUGUGUGUGUGGUGCGUGCGUGUGUGAGAGGCAAAGCCAAGGAAAAAUGCAACGGAAGUUUUCAGUCGCAAAAAAAAAGACGAAAAAUCGCAAAACGGAACUGAAACAUAUUGUGAAAUUCGAGCGACAGAGAAAGCGAUACAUCAACGUGGUUUCUGGAGCUUCUGGGUUUUUCUACCACCAGGAAUUAAAGAACGUGAAAGAACGCAGAAAAGAGAUGGGUAGAAAGAAGAGCGAGGUUUAUUUUUAGCAUUUUGAUAUCACAAGGCAGCUUUUUUUUCGCUACACUACGAGAAAAAAAUGACGCAAACGGUGACCACAUGAUUCUACAUAUUUCCAUAUAACCGACCCAUACAGACGUAGCUUUUUUGGGGAACUUUUUGUCGCUCAAAUAUUAAUUUUAGAUUUUUUUUUACCCAGACAAAGCUCAUUGUGCAAGUGUGUUGGUGUAUGAUCGAAUUUUGAGUAGAAACUUCCAUUUCUUUUCUUUUUUCAUUGCUCAGGGUUAAGGGCAACAACAAAAAACGAUGGCUCGGCUAGGAAAAAGCAUGUGCUGCAUUUUUGCUGCUGCAAAAAAAUAGAGAGGAGCGAGGAGACACCCACACAGACAUACACACACAUACACAAGCGAAGACAGUCGGUUUUUUGAGGUUAGGAAUGCCCCACCCAAGCAAUGGCUGCUCAUUUAUGUACUGCACAUAUAUACGAAAAUAUAUGUACAUAUAUAAAACCGUCUGUAGCGCAGAAAUUCGCCAUUAUUCACAGUCCAAAGCUGUUCGCGAUCGCAGGUUUAUGAGGCGUGUUGUAAAAAAAAAAGAAGCCAGUCGCGCAAAGGUAGUUAAAAAAUACUUUUGCAAAAAUUUAAAUACCCACACAGCUUUGAGAGAAUUCGCGAAUGUAUGGAAGGCACGUGUGUGUCUCAGCUGAAUUGUGUGCCUAUGUGCGAGAGUGUGUGUGUGAGCGAUCACGCACGUAGCUGCGCGUUUCAAAUAUAGAAUAUCAAGGGUCUGCCGGACGAAGCGCAAGAAAAAGAGAAUUUGCUGAAUGAAAUGUAAUAAUUCGCCGACGGAUGACGUCACGUCCUAUGUGGUCAUUAGCACUCCAGAGGCGCAACGGGGUGCCAAUUCUACCCCCUGAAUGAGUUGGUAAAACGCUUGACAAUCGAACAAAAUUAACACACAAAUUUCAGAACUUUGAAGAGUGGAACAAGACUACAGAUUGGAAAACCCCUUAAAGAUAACUAUAGAUACGCCCCUGGUUCCAGUUUUCUGCUCUCAUAUGACUAAUUUUGGCAUUGUUAUUGCAUAAAAUUCGCAUGGCGUCAUCAUCAUCAACGCGUACAACUACAAAGCUCGCAGAGAUCGUUAACCCCAAAGCGGAGACCUAAUACCAGGCACAAGGUCGCCUCCCAUGACCCCCCUCCCCAGAAGGGGGUCGCCAUUCGUUGAUGCAGUUUUGUUGCCAGGCGGCGGCUAAACAUCUGUCUCAGAACUGCAAAUGGUGAAAAAGAAACCUGACUGGGCUUGGCCUGGCUUUAUAUCUACAUCUUCAACUCCAGCCACAGCUCCUACUCGUUAUAUGCGAUGAUGUUCCCCCGACUGAACAGAGUCUCCUACCUUGCGCGCUAAUCAGUGACCGGGGCUGGUUUUUUAUAUACAGUCAGGUACCUGAAGUAGCGCGCGUGGUGCCAGACAUAUAUCUCCAACUCCACGAUAUAUAAAUAAGCCAAAAGCUCGCAGGCGAGUCCUCCAAAGAAACCCCAUGUGUAUCAACUGUCUCCCAUGUCUAUUGUACUUCAUCAGGUGCUCUGGUGUGGCCCGUAACCCGGCACAUGUUGAAGUACACUCAAUAUGAGGCGAUUUGCAUACGAAAGCGACCAAUACAAGUGUUUACCGAUUACCUAAAUUAAAGAUUAGUAAAAUA